GCUAUUUAAAGUCCCAUGGUUACCCUGGGACGGGGACAGCCCCAGAAAGCCCUUCUGAGGGAUCUGUGACCUUAGCUGACCCCUGAUGACCCCUGGUGACCCCUGAUGACCCCUGCAUCAACACCCAGCAGGUACGAGCCGGUCCAAUCAGAAGACUGAAUGUACUUCUGAACAGUGGAUCCAUGGUUCCUCUUGGCGCGGAGUCUCAGCCAAUCACACGUCUGGAGCAACGAUAAUUGAAGACAGAUAUCUUGCAGCCCGGUGGCUCGGCCCUUUUAUGGACUUCCUGCUCCAACAAAGCUCACCUGUG
ensembl:lncRNA